UNGUUAUGCUUUGAGGAAUGCAGGAGGGGAACACGCCAAGUCAUCAUGACCCGUAUAAGUUGGGCUACACAUGUGCUACAAGGGAGAGUACAAAAAGAUGCCAUAAUUGAAGUUAGAGCUAAUCUUGAAAACUCUUCUCAGUUCAGAUUACUUUCUGCAACUCGAAAGUAUGAAGGAGGAAUUGCCAGUAAUCGCAUAUCAGCAGAGGUGCGGUGAAUAAGUACUGAAGUUCUGUACAAACCGCCCGUCACGGUCCGAAAGGAGGUUU
rnacentral:rRNA from 1 species